rnacentral:rRNA from 1 species
UGGUUAAGUUAGAAAGGGCGCACGGUGGAUGCCUUGACACUAGGAGUCGAUGAAGGACGGGACUAACGCCGAUAUGCUUCGGGGAGCUGUAAGUAAGCUUUGAUCCGAAGAUUUCCGAAUGGGGAAACCCACCAUACGUAAUGGUAUGGUAUCCUUAUCUGAAUACAUAGGGUAAGGAAGACAGACCCAGGGAACUGAAACAUCUAAGUACCUGGAGGAAGAGAAAGCAAAUGCGAUUUCCUGAGUAGCGGCGAGCGAAACGGAACAUAGCCCAAACCAAGAGGCUUGCCUCUUGGGGUUGUAGGACAUUCUAUACGGAGUUACAAAGGAACGAGGUAGACGAAGCGACCUGGAAAGGUCCGUCGUAGAGGGUAACAACCCCGUAGUCGAAACUUCGUUCUCUCUUGAAUGUAUCCUGAGUACGGCGGAACACGUGAAAUUCCGUCGGAAUCUGGGAGGACCAUCUCCCAAGGCUAAAUACUCCCUAGUGAUCGAUAGUGAACCAGUACCGUGAGGGAAAGGUGAAAAGCACCCCGGAAGGGGAGUGAAAGAGAUCCUGAAACCGUGUGCCUACAAAUAGUCAGAGCCCGUUAACGGGUGAUGGCGUGCCUUUUGUAGAAUGAACCGGCGAGUUACGAUCCCGUGCGAGGUUAAGCUGAAGAGGCGGAGCCGCAGCGAAAGCGAGUCUGAAUAGGGCGUUUAGUACGUGGUCGUAGACCCGAAACCAGGUGAUCUACCCAUGUCCAGGGUGAAGUUCAGGUAACACUGAAUGGAGGCCCGAACCCACGCACGUUGAAAAGUGCGGGGAUGAGGUGUGGGUAGCGGAGAAAUUCCAAUCGAACCUGGAGAUAGCUGGUUCUCCCCGAAAUAGCUUUAGGGCUAGCCUUAAGUGUAAGAGUCUUGGAGGUAGAGCACUGAUUGGACUAGGGGUCCUCAUCGGAUUACCGAAUUCAGUCAAACUCCGAAUGCCAAUGACUUAUCCUUAGGAGUCAGACUGCGAGUGAUAAGAUCCGUAGUCAAAAGGGAAACAGCCCAGACCGCCAGCUAAGGUCCCAAAGUGUGUAUUAAGUGGAAAAGGAUGUGGAGUUGCUUAGACAACUAGGAUGUUGGCUUAGAAGCAGCCACCAUUUAAAGAGUGCGUAAUAGCUCACUAGUCGAGUGACUCUGCGCCGAAAAUGUACCGGGGCUAAAUACACCACCGAAGCUGCGGAUUGAUACCAAUGGUAUCAGUGGUAGGGGAGCGUUCUAAGGACAGUGAAGUCAGACCGUAAGGACUGGUGGAGUGCUUAGAAGUGAGAAUGCCGGUAUGAGUAGCGAAAGACGGGUGAGAAUCCCGUCCACCGAAUGCCUAAGGUUUCCUGAGGAAGGCUCGUCCGCUCAGGGUUAGUCAGGACCUAAGCCGAGGCCGACAGGCGUAGGCGAUGGACAACAGGUUGAUAUUCCUGUACCACCUCUUUAUCGUUUGAGCAAUGGAGGGACGCAGAAGGAUAGAAGAAGCGUGCGAUUGGUUGUGCACGUCCAAGCAGUUAGGCUGAUAAGUAGGCAAAUCCGCUUAUCGUGAAGGCUGAGCUGUGAUGGGGAAGCUCCUUAUGGAGCGAAGUCUUUGAUUCCCCGCUGCCAAGAAAAGCUUCUAGCGAGAUAAAAGGUGCCUGUACCGCAAACCGACACAGGUAGGCGAGGAGAGAAUCCUAAGGUGUGCGAGAGAACUCUGGUUAAGGAACUCGGCAAAAUGACCCCGUAACUUCGGGAGAAGGGGUGCUUUCUUAACGGAAAGCCGCAGUGAAUAGGCCCAAGCGACUGUUUAGCAAAAACACAGCUCUCUGCGAAGCCGUAAGGCGAAGUAUAGGGGGUGACACCUGCCCGGUGCUGGAAGGUUAAGGAGAGGGGUUAGCGUAAGCGAAGCUCUGAACUGAAGCCCCAGUAAACGGCGGCCGUAACUAUAACGGUCCUAAGGUAGCGAAAUUCCUUGUCGGGUAAGUUCCGACCCGCACGAAAGGUGUAACGAUUUGGGCACUGUCUCAACCAGAGACUCGGUGAAAUUAUAGUACCUGUGAAGAUGCAGGUUACCCGCGACAGGACGGAAAGACCCCGUGGAGCUUUACUGUAGCCUGAUAUUGAAUUUUGGUACAGUUUGUACAGGAUAGGCGGGAGCCAUUGAAACCGGAGCGCUAGCUUCGGUGGAGGCGCUGGUGGGAUACCGCCCUGACUGUAUUGAAAUUCUAACCUACGGGUCUUAUCGACCCGGGAGACAGUGUCAGGUGGGCAGUUUGACUGGGGCGGUCGCCUCCUAAAGUGUAACGGAGGCGCCCAAAGGUUCCCUCAGAAUGGUUGGAAAUCAUUCGUAGAGUGCAAAGGCAUAAGGGAGCUUGACUGCGAGACCUACAAGUCGAGCAGGGACGAAAGUCGGGCUUAGUGAUCCGGUGGUUCCGCAUGGAAGGGCCAUCGCUCAACGGAUAAAAGCUACCCCGGGGAUAACAGGCUUAUCUCCCCCAAGAGUCCACAUCGACGGGGAGGUUUGGCACCUCGAUGUCGGCUCAUCGCAUCCUGGGGCUGUAGUCGGUCCCAAGGGUUGGGCUGUUCGCCCAUUAAAGCGGUACGCGAGCUGGGUUCAGAACGUCGUGAGACAGUUCGGUCCCUAUCCGUCGUGGGCGUAGGAAAUUUGAGAGGAGCUGUCCUUAGUACGAGAGGACCGGGAUGGACGCACCGCUGGUGUACCAGUUGUUCUGCCAAGGGCAUAGCUGGGUAGCUAUGUGCGGAAGGGAUAAGUGCUGAAAGCAUCUAAGCAUGAAGCCCCCCUCAAGAUGAGAUUUCCCAUAGCGUAAGCUAGUAAGAUCCCUGAAAGAUGAUCAGGUUGAUAGGUUCGAGGUGGAAGCAUGGUGACAUGUGGAGCUGACGAAUACUAAUAGAUCGAGGACUUAACCAU